AAGAUGGAAAGGGCGCACGGUGGAUGCCUGGGCGCCAGGAGCCGAGGAAGGACGGGGCGAACGCCGAAACGCCACGGGGAGCUGUACGCGAGCGUGGAUCCGUGGAUGUCCGAAUGGGGGAACCCACUGGCCGGGAGGGCCAGUACCGGUGGCGGGAAGCUGCCGGGGGCAACCGGGGGAACUGAAACAUCUUAGUACCCCGAGGAGAAGAAAACAAACGUGAUUCCGCAAGUAGUGGCGAGCGAACGCGGAGGAGCCUAAACCGCGCAGGUGGGAGAGGUUGCAGCCGAUGCCUGUGCGGGGUCGUGGGGGUGCUGCGGUGCGGGCUGCAAACCGCACGCGAAGUGAGCAACCUGACAGGUAGCGGAACGGCAUGGGAAGGCCGGCCGGAGAGGGUGAGAGCCCCGUACGCGAAACCUGUGAGGCUUCGUGGCAGCACAGCCCGAGUACCGCGGGACACGAGGAAUCCCGUGGGAAUCGGGGAGGACCACCUCCCAAGGCUAAAUACUCCCUGGCGACCGAUAGUGGAGAGUACCGUGAGGGAAAGGUGAAAAGCACCGCGGGAGCGGAGUGAAAGAGGACCUGAAACCGUGUGCCCACAAGCAGUCGGAGGGUGGCGGAAGCCGCCUGACGGCGUGCCUUUUGUAGAAUGAACCGGCGAGUGAUGAUGGCGAGCGAGGUUAAGGCGGGGAGCCGGAGCCGGAGCGAAAGCGAGUCUGAAGAGGGCGCAAGUUCGCUGUCAUCGACCCGAAACCGGGUGAUCUACCCCUGGUCAGGGUGAAGUGCGGGUAGCGCCGCAUGGAGGCCCGAACCCACCGGCGUUGAAAAGCCGGGGGAUGAACCGGGGGUAGGGGUGAAAUGCCAAUCGAACCCGGAGAUAGCUGGUUCUCCCCGAAAUAGCUUGAGGGCUAGCGUCGGCUAAGACCGGCGGAGGUAGAGCGCUGAUUGGGUGCGGGGCCCGUGGAGGGUUACCAAGCCCAGUCAAACUGCGAAUGCCGCCGGGUUGGUGGCCGGCAGUCAGACCACGAGUGAUAAGAUCCGUGGUCGAGAGGGGAACAGCCCGGACCAACAGCUAAGGACCCGAAGUGCCAGUUGAGUGGGGAACGAUGUGGCGUUGCGAAGACAACCAGGAUGUUGGCUUAGAAGCAGCCAUCAUUGAAAGAGUGCGUAAUAGCUCACUGGUCGAGUGACGCUGCGCGGAAAAUGUAACGGGGCUAAACUGGCCUCCGAAGCUUUGGAUGCUGCCGGAAGGCAGCGUGGUAGGGGAGCGUUCCGUAGGCGGGGAAGCCCGGGCGGGAGCCCGGGUGGAGCGUACGGAAGUGAGAAUGCCGGUAUGAGUAGCGAAAAGAGGGGUGAGAAUCCCCUCCGCCGAAAGCCUAAGGAUUCCUGGGGAAGGCUCGUCCGCCCAGGGUAAGUCGGGGCCUAAGGUGAGGCCGAAAGGCGUAGCCGAAGGGAAACUGGUGGAGAGUCCAGUACCACCCGAGCGCGUUGGAGCGAUGGGGUGACGCAGGAGGAGCAGGGAAGCGGCCGGAUGGAAGGGGCCGUCCAAGCGGCGAGUGGGGCGUGCAGGCAAAUCCGCACGCCGGGGACCAUGAGCCGUGAUGGGGAGGGAAGGCAAGUACCGAAGUCCCGGGCUUCACACUGCCGAGAAAAGCCUCUAGCGAGCGCGAGGGUGCCCGUACCGGAAACCGACACAGGUAGGCGCGUGGAGGACACGAAGGCGCGCGGGAGAACUCUCGUCAAGGAACUCGGCAAACUGACCCCGUAACUUCGGGAGAAGGGGUGCUUGUCCGGGAGGGCAAGCCGCAGAGAAGAGGCCCAAGCGACUGUUUAGCAAAAACACAGGUCUCUGCGAAGCCGAAAGGCGACGUAUAGGGGCUGACGCCUGCCCGGUGCUGGAAGGUUAAGAGGAGGGCUCAGGGGGCGACCCCGAAGGUCCGAAUUGAAGCCCCAGUAAACGGCGGCCGUAACUAUAACGGUCCUAAGGUAGCGAAAUUCCUUGUCGGGUAAGUUCCGACCCGCACGAAAGGCGUAACGACUUGGGCGCUGUCUCGACGAGAGGCCCGGUGAAAUUGUACUACCUGUGAAGAUGCAGGUUACCCGCGGCUAGACGGAAAGACCCCGUGGAGCUUGACUGCAGCUUGAUAUGGGAUAUGGGCAUGUCAUGUACAGGAUAGGUGGGAGACAGGGAAGCCUGGGCGCCAGCCUGGGUGGAGUCGGCGUUGGGAUACCACCCUUGAUAUGCCUGUGUUCUAACCUGGGUAGUGGAUACCCGGGGACAGUGUCAGGCGGGCAGUUUGACUGGGGCGGUCGCCUCCCAAAAGGUAACGGAGGCGCCCAAAGGUUCCCUCAGCGCGGAUGGAAAUCGCGCGUGGAGUGCAAAGGCAGAAGGGAGCUUGACUGCGAGACGGACAGGUCGAGCAGGGACGAAAGUCGGGCUUAGUGACCCGGUGGCACUGAGUGGAAGGGCCAUCGCGCAACGGAUAAAAGCUACCCCGGGGAUAACAGGCUGAUCUCCCCCAAGAGUCCACAUCGACGGGGAGGUUUGGCACCUCGAUGUCGGCUCAUCGCAUCCUGGGGCUGAAGCCGGUCCCAAGGGUUGGGCUGUUCGCCCAUUAAAGCGGUACGCGAGCUGGGUUCAGAACGUCGUGAGACAGUUCGGUCCCUAUCUGCCGCGGGCGGAGGAUACGUGAGAGGGUUGGUCCCUAGUACGAGAGGACCGGGACGAACCGACCGCUGGUGUCCCAGUUGUUCCGCCAGGAGCAGCGCUGGGUAGCCAAGUCGGUGAGGGAUAAGCGCUGAAAGCAUCUAAGCGCGAAGCCCGCCUCGAGAUGACGUAUCCCAUCCCGGGAAGGGAGUAAGACCCCUCAGAGACGAUGAGGUAGAUCGGUCCGGCGUGGAAGCGUGGUGACACGUGGAGCGGACGGAUACGAAUGGGUCGAGGGCUUCACC
rnacentral:rRNA from 1 species